ACGGGUGAGUAACGCGUGGGAAUCUACCCAGCUCUACGGAAUAACUCAGGGAAACUUGUGCUAAUACCGUAUACGUCCGAUAGGAGAAAGAUUUAUCGGAGUUGGAUGAGCCCGCGUUGGAUUAGCUAGUUGGUGGGGUAAUGGCCUACCAAGGCGACGAUCCAUAGCUGGUCUGAGAGGAUGAUCAGCCACACUGGGACUGAGACACGGCCCAGACUCCUACGGGAGGCAGCAGUGGGGAAUAUUGGACAAUGGGCGCAAGCCUGAUCCAGCCAUGCCGCGUGAGUGAUGAAGGCCCUAGGGUUGUAAAGCUCUUUCAACGGUGAAGAUAAUGACGGUAACCGUAGAAGAAGCCCCGGCUAACUUCGUGCCAGCAGCCGCGGUAAUACGAAGGGGGCUAGCGUUGUUCGGAAUUACUGGGCGUAAAGCGCACGUAGGCGGAUUGUUAAGUGAGGGGUGAAAUCCCAGGGCUCAACCCUGGAACUGCCUUUCAUACUGGCAAUCUCGAGUCCGAGAGAGGUGAGUGGAAUUCCGAGUGUAGAGGUGAAAUUCGUAGA
rnacentral:rRNA from 1 species